AUGCGACGAAUUCCGCCCUCUCUACGUUGUAGAGACCUCGGUUAUGAAGCACAAGUUAUGAAACGGGCUUUUCAAUUGAUACAUCAUCAUCCCUUACUUGCCUUCCAACAUCAUGAUGGUUAUCUGAAUCAACAUCUGUCUCAUCACAUAUUAUAUCCAAUCUACUAUGCAGGCUCGCCAAGGACUGGCGUUCAACUUGAAGCGAGUCUAUGCAGAGCUCUCAUUAGCAUGACGUAUAGUUUUAAAAAGCCUGCCAUGGAGGAGUCUUGGGGGCUGGGGCCAUGA